rnacentral:rRNA from 1 species
CAAUAGCGUAUAUUAACGUUGUUGCAGUUAAAAAGCUCGUAGUUGGAUUUCUGGAGGGAGCGUCGGCCCGUAUUUACGAGUGCGUGACGUCUCUGUCCAUCCUUGCGGGAAGGCACGGCAUUGAUUUGUUGUGUCGGAUCGCAUCAUUUACUGUGAAAAAAUUAGAGUGUUCAAAGCAGGCUUUCGCUUGAAUACAUUAGCAUGGAAUAAUAAGAUAGGACUUUGGUGCUAUUUUGUUGGUUGAGCCUAAAGUAAUGAUUAAUAGGGAUAGUUGGGGGCAUCUGUAUUGCGUUGUCAGAGGUGAAAUUCUUGGAUUUACGCAAGACAAACAGCUGCGAAAGCGUCUGCCAAGGAUGUUUUCAUUAA